UACGUAGGGGGCAAGCGUUGUCCGGAUUUAUUGGGCGUAAAAGGCUUGUAGGUGGCCACGCCAAGUCGGCUGUGAAAUCUCCCGGCUCAACUGGGAGGGGUCAUUCGAUACUGGCGGGCUCGAGGCCGGUAGGGGGAAGUGGAAUUCCUGGUGUAGCGGUGAAAUGCGCAGAUAUCAGGAGGAACACCGGUGGCGAAGGCGGGUCUCUGGGCCGAUACCGACGCUGAGGAGCGAAAGCGUGGGGAGCGAACAGG
rnacentral:rRNA from 1 species